UUAGUUAAGGUAUUAGCAUCUGGCCUCUCCUAUUUUCAAUUUAAAAGCUUAUUUAUUACUAGUGUUAUUUGACUAAACAAUCGCACAACCUUAGCCUUGGCCACCGGAUAAACUAAUAUCGGCCUAUAUUAACAACUCUACUACCAGAAGCUUAAGCACAUGGUGGCGGAUAAGAUACACGCCAGGGCUAAAGGGUCCAGGGCUGUACACUAUGCAAAUCACUGAGAAUGCACGUCAACAUCAGAACGUGUCUCUGGACGGCAUGCGAGUUAUGUCAUGAAAUUAUACACUUAUUAAUUAUGUAAUGGCGGUUUGCUAAAAUAUAAACUUAUUAUGGAGAAGGUUAGAAAGUGUGGAAAAUUUUUUUGGAAUUUUUUUAUUGUAGAAUAUAUUUCGCAGUGUUCAUUAUUGA